rnacentral:rRNA from 1 species
UACAGGGGGUGCAAACGUUGCACGGAAUCAUUGGGCGUAAAGCGCACGUAGGCGGUCUGUUAUGUCGGAUGUGAAAGCCCUUGGCUCAACUGAGGAAGUGCAUCCGAAACUGGCAGGCUAGAGUACUAAAGAGGAUCGCGGAAUUCCCGGUGUAGAGGUGAAAUUCGUAGAUAUCAAGAGGAACACCUGAGGUGAAGACGGGUUGCUGGGCUGACACUGACGCUGAGGCGCGAAAGCCAGGGGAGCAAACGGG